CUUUCUAAUUUUAAUAACUCCUGUUAAUAUUAGUUAAAAAAAAGUGGUGGCACAAAAUCGGAAGCCCCGACUGUUUACUAAAAACACAGCUAUCUGCAAUGAUGUAAAUCAUAGUAUAGGUAGUGAGGUUUGCUCAAUGCCAUCAGCAUAAGAGACGUAAUGGGAAACUGUUAAAUAUCGAAAGCCUGGUUAAUAGCGGUCUUAACCAUGAGGAUCCUAAGGUAGCAAAAUAAAUUGGCCAUUAAAUGUGGUCCGGUAUCAAUAAUUUAACGAUGGCUUCACUGUCUCUACAACUUGCUCAGUGAAAUUGAAUUGUGAGUGCAGAUGCUCACUACUCGCAGUGGGACGGGAAGACCCUAU
rnacentral:rRNA from 1 species